rnacentral:tRNA from 1 species
UCCUCGAUAGCUCAACGGUAGAGCAAUCGGCUGUUAACCGAUUGGUUACAGGUUCGAAUCCUGUUCGAGGAGC